GAUGAACGCUGGCGGCGUGCCUAAUACAUGCAAGUCGAACGAGGUGCUUUUGUAGCAAUACAAGAGUAUCCUAGUGGCGAACGGGUGAGUAACGCGUUGGUGACCUACCCCAAAGUGUGGAAUAACAGUCCGAAAGGAUUGCUAAUACCGCAUGUGGUUAUCGGGCUUAAAAACUGAUAACUAAAGGAGCAAUUCGCUUUGGGAGGGACCUGCGUCCCAUCAGCUAGUUGGUGAGGUAACGGCUCACCAAGGCUACAACGGGUAGGGGACCUGAGAGGGUGACCCCCCACAAUGGAACUGAAACACGGUCCAUACACCUACGGGUGGCAGCAGUAGGGAAUAUUGCACAAUGGGCGAAAGCCUGAUGCAGCAACGCCGCGUGUGCGAUGAAGGCCUUCGGGUCGUAAAGCACUUUUCUGAGAGAUGAGAAAGGACAGUAUCUCAGGAAUAAGUCUCGGCUAACUACGUG
rnacentral:rRNA from 1 species